rnacentral:piRNA from 1 species
UAGCAGAUGUCGUGGAUCCUGGAACA